rnacentral:hammerhead_ribozyme from 1 species
AGCUGACGAGUCCCAAAUAAGACGAAAUGCGCAUCCU